CUUCGGGGACAUUGGUGACAGGUGGUGCAUGGUUGUCGUCAGCUCGUGUCGUGAGAUGUUGGGUUAAGUCCCGCAACGAGCGCAACCCUUGUCUUUAGUUGCCAUCAUUAAGUUGGGCACUCUAGAGAGACUGCCAGGGAUAACCUGGAGGAAGGUGGGGAUGACGUCAAAUCAUCAUGCCCCUUAUGCUUAGGGCUACACACGUGCUACAAUGGGUAGUACAGAGGGUUGCCAAGCCGUAAGGUGGAGCUAAUCCCUUAAAGCUACUCUCAGUUCGGAUUGUAGGCUGAAACUCGCCUACAUGAAGCUGGAGUUACUAGUAAUCGCAGAUCAGAAUGCUGCGGUGAAUGCGUUCCCGGGUCUUGUACACACCGCCCGUCACACCACGGGAGGUGGAGACGCCCGAAGCCGAUUAUCUAACCUUUUGGAAGAAGUCGUCGAAGGUGGAAUCAAUAACUGGGGUGAAGUCGUAACAAGGUAGCCGUAUCGGAAGGUGCGGCUGGAUCACCUCCUUUCUAAGGA
rnacentral:rRNA from 1 species